UGGCCACUUUGACCUCCCCACCCACUCCCCUUUUUAAUUCCCCCCACCAAGGCAGGAAGCCUAAGCUGUGCCCAUCUGGGCAGAGGGAUCCUCCUCCUCUUGUCAUCACUGACAGUAUAUUGCAUGAAGAAAGACACAGCAAUCAGAAGAAGCAACAGGAAUAAUGUAUCCACAACCUAAUCUAUGGGAUUUCUUUUCUUCUCUGUCCUCCUCAUCCAGGAAGUAGGAGCUCCAGACACAAGAGGCAAUGGUCAAUGAGAAGAUACCUCUUCAGCUAGAAAUAAAAAUGUGUACAGCUCUAUAGCAGUGAAAUUACUUUGUUUCCUAACUUUUAAAAGAUCAUAUUAAGGUUUAUAGCUUUUGUUCCUGAAAUUAGUUUUUGUGUUUUGCUGGCUCUGCUGGACUUCAUGUAAUUAUGUUAAGAGUUCCUGUGGUUCUCAUUAUUCUUUCUUGCUUGCUGUUGGUGCAUAUAAAUAAAUUUCACUAUUCCCUUGUGGCCUGUGCUUUUUUUGAGCAAAUAUAGUUUUGGCAAGACUGUAUUAGGAAGGAUACCAUGAGUUCUGUUCUAGAGAGGCCAUAUAGAAGGCAGAUAUAUUCUACUGGAUGGUCUCAAGGAAUGGCAAAAGAUACACUGGGCACUGCUGGUAAUUUCUGUGGCUUCAUUAAGGCUACAUGCAGGUUUGUCUUUCUACAACUGGGAUCUUAGAGUGAUAUUCACCAACAAUAUAUCAAAAAAAAGCAUUGUGAAAGUUACAUAUUAAACUUUUUCUCAUUUGGCAUGGUCUUGAUGCCACUAGGAAUGCUAUCAUUAUGUCUCUAAUUGUGUAGCCAAUCAGAAGAUUUUUCUCUUCAUGAAACACUCCACACCUCAUGAGCAAAUAGACUAGAUGUUCACAAGAAAGUGGGAGAGGAUGCAGCUGGGACAGCUGACUGCAUUGACUAAAGGGCUACCCCAUACCACACAACAUCAUGCUCAGCAAUAAAAGCUGUAGAAGAAGAAUUAUGUGAGAGAGUUUUUUUAGAUAGAGUCUGAGGAUAAGGAUCUAAAUUUAAACCUAAGGAAGGCAGAAGAACUACAGACUUUCAGGUAAUGGAAUGUAUAGUUACCUUGGAGUAAGGAUUACUGUAAUUUCAGGUAUGUAAAUUAUAUUGUUGUCAUACAACAUUUCUGUCAGUGUAACCACAUUUUCUUUUCCACUUUAUGCUUAUCAUUUUAAUGUUCAACUUCCCUUAGUUCUGUUGUUUACAAAAUAAAUUCCUUAAUUGUUAAAA